rfam:Leptospirillum rubarum LeptoII_Scaffold_8049_Cont25, whole genome shotgun sequence.
CCGGAACUUCCCUGUUCCGUAGCCUAUCGUUGCGUGCGUGGUGAGCAAUCCCGGGUACGAAGCCAACGAGACAACGUAACCCUAUAAGCCGAUCCUGCGAAGGAAAGGCGUGACUGCGAGCAUAACGCGGGAGGGUGC